AUCGCUUCUUGGCCUUUUGGCUAAGAUCAAGUGUAGUAUCUGUUCUUAUCAGUUUAAAAAAAGGUAAGCCAAAAAAAUGAACUGAAAUUCCCCAAAAGAAGACAUAUGAAUGGCCAAAAAGCACAU
rnacentral:snRNA from 1 species